CAUGCAGUCGAGCGGUAGCACAGAGAAGCUUGCUUCUUGGGUGACGAGCGGGGGACGGGUGAGUAAUGCAUAGGAAUCUGCCCGAUAGUGGGGGAUAACCUGGGGAAACCCAGGCUAAUACCGCAUACGUCCUACGGGAGAGAGGGGGCUUUGGCUCCCGCUAUUGGAUGAGCCUAUGUCGGAUUAGCUAGUUGGUGAGGUAAUGGCUCACCAAGGCGACGAUCCGUAGCUGGUCUGAGAGGAUGAUCAGCCACAUCGGGACUGAGACACGGCCCGAACUCCUACGGGAGGCAGCAGUGGGGAAUAUUGGACAAUGGGGGCAACCCUGAUCCAGCCAUGCCGCGUGUGUGAAGAAGGCCUUAGGGUUGUAAAGCACUUUCAGCGAGGAAGAACGCCUAGUGGUUAAUACCCAUUAGGAAAGACAUCACUCGCAGAAGAAGCACCGGCUAACUCCGUGCCAGCAGCCGCGGUAAUACGGAGGGUGCAAGCGUUAAUCGGAAUUACUGGGCGUAAAGCGCGCGUAGGUGGCUUUAUAAGCCGGUUGUGAAAGCCCCGGGCUCAACCUGGGAACGGCAUCCGGAACUGUGAGGCUAGAGUACAGGAGAGGAAGGUAGAAUUCCCGGUGUAGCGGUGAAAUGCGUAGAGAUCGGGAGGAAUACCAGUGGCGAAGGCGGCCUUCUGGACUGAUACUGACACUGAGGUGCGAAAGCGUGGGUAGCAAACAGGAUUAGAUACCCUGGUAGUCCACGCCGUAAACGAUGUCGACCAGCCGUUGGGUGCCUAGAGCACUUUGUGGCGAAGUUAACGCGAUAAGUCGACCGCCUGGGGGAGUACGGCCGCAAGUUAAAACUCAAAUGAAUUGACGGGGGCCCGCACAAGCGGUGAGCAUUGUGGUUUAAUUCGAUGCACCGCGAAGAACUUUACCUACCCUUUGACAUCUAUAGAAUAUUGCAGAGAUGCGAUUGUGCUUCGGGAACUAUUAACCAGGUGCUGCAUGGGCUGUCGUCAGCUCGUGUUGUGAAAUGUUGGGUUAAGUCCCGUAACGAGCGCAACCCUUGUCUUAUUUGCCAGC
rnacentral:rRNA from 1 species